GACGAACGCUGGCGGCGUGCUUAACACAUGCAAGUCGAACGGAAAGGCCCUGCUUUCUUGGGGUGCUCGAGUGGCGAACGGGUGAGUAACACGUGAGUAACCUGCCCUUCACUUUGGGAUAACUUCAGGAAACUGGGGCUAAUACCGGAUAGCAGCUCCUGCUGCAUGGUGGAGGUUGGAAAGUUUCGGCGGUUGGGGAUGGACGCGCGGCUUAUCAGCUUGUUGGUGGGGUAGUGGCUUACCAAGGCUUUGACGGGUAGCCGGCCUGAGAGGGUGACCGGCCACAUUGGGACUGAGAUACGGCCCAGACUCCUACGGGAGGCAGCAGUGGGGAAUAUUGCACAAUGGGCGGAAGCCUGAUGCAGCAACGCCGCGUGCGGGAUGACGGCCUUCGGGUUGUAAACCGCUUUCGCCUGUGACGAAGCGUGAGUGACGGUAAUGGGUAAAGAAGCACCGGCUAACUACGUG
rnacentral:rRNA from 1 species